GAAUCUUAAAGUAGCCAUGGACAAGAUUGCUCAGUGGACCCAGUCCAGGAAGAGGCCAAUGGCCACUCCACCCAUGAUCUCUCAUGACUGGCAAAUUCUUUCCUCCUCCUGCAUCUGCUAACUGGCCUGUGGGAACCUGGAAGUCCUGCCUCUUCCACCCCACCAUUGGCUGCUGGCAUCUUUAUUGAUUGAUCAAGAACCAAUUGAUGAACAGGAUCUUCAGCAUUCCCAAUUCCUGAACAGAGCAUCAGAACCACGCCCUAUAAAAGUAUGCCAGCUGUUCUUGUCAGUCUCAUGCAGCCCAGGCUCACCUUAAACUGCAGUGGAGCAUGUUGGACUUCCCGAUCAUCCUGGGGACGAAGACGAAGUUCUUAUGACAAGACUUUCACUAACUGAGC
ensembl:lncRNA